rnacentral:hammerhead_ribozyme from 1 species
AUCCAGCUAACGAGUCCCAAAUGGGACAAAACGUGCGUCAAACUAGAU